rnacentral:rRNA from 1 species
AUUGAACGCUGGCGGAAUACUUUACACAUGCAAGUCGAACGGCAGCACGGACUUCGGUCUGGUGGCGAGUGGCGAACGGGUGAGUAAUGUAUCGGAACGUGCCCAGUCGUGGGGGAUAACGUAGUGAAAAUUACGCUAAUACCGCAUACGAUCUAUGGAUGAAAGCGGGGGAUCGCAAGACCUCGCGCGAUUGGAGCGGCCGAUAUCAGAUUAGGUAGUUGGUGGGGUAAAGGCCCACCAAGCCAACGAUCUGUAGCUGGUCUGAGAGGACGACCAGCCACACUGGAACUGAGACACGGUCCAGACUCCUACGGGAGGCAGCAGUGGGGAAUUUUGGACAAUGGGCGAAGGCCUGAUCCAGCCAUUCCGCGUGCAGGAUGAAGGCCCUCGGGUUGUAAACUGCUUUUGUACAGAACGAAAAGGUUUCUACUAAUACUAGGAGCUCAUGACGGUACUGUGAGAAUAAGCACCGGCUAACUACGUGCCAGCCGCCGCGGUAA